AUAUGUGUUUAUUUAUAUAUAUGUUUAUUUUCUGUAUUUAUAUUUUGGGAGCUUUUAUUUUGUUUGUGUGACCUUUGACUUCCCACGAAGUCACUUCCUGUAGCUGCGCGCUAUUUUCCUCAGUGGCCUAGAGGUCCCGCUGAGGAGAGGUGAGCGUACGCUAGUGUUCUCAGUUACAGAGUGAAUAAACACAGUUAAAGUAACUAAAAGUAAUUCAAACACUGCUUGUUCCCUUUGUACAUUUUGUCUCACAGUUCUGCUAGAUGUUUUAGUGUGAAUUAUUGUUUCUCUGUCGAGUACAGCACUUUAUUGUAACAUGCUAGUUAGCCAUUCUCAGAUGAGAGCAUAUGAGCAUGCAGGUGGCUUCUCAUGUGGUCCGCUAUCCUUCUCUCUCCCUUGAAGGUGUUCAUGCAGAAGUCCAGAAAGUGAAGUCGCUGUACUGUUUUAUUUUUAUUUUAAACAGUCGCCUAGAGGUCCCGCUGAGGAGAGGUGUUCAUGCAGAAGUCCAGUAAAGUGAAGUCGCUGUACUGUUUUAUUUUUAUUUUAAACAGUUCUGGGAGAAUAAAUCUGCCCCAGCUGGCAAAGAGA